rnacentral:rRNA from 1 species
GACGAACGCUGGCGGCGUGCUUAACACAUGCAAGUCGAACGGUAAGGCCCUUCGGGGUACACGAGUGGCGAACGGGUGAGUAACACGUGGGUGAUCUGCCCUGCACUUCGGGAUAAGCCUGGGAAACUGGGUCUAAUACCGGAUAGGACUCGUGGCUUCAUGGUUGGGGGGGGAAAGCUUUUGCGGUGUGGGAUGGGCCCGCGGCCUAUCAGCUUGUUGGUGGGGUAGUGGCCUACCAAGGCGACGACGGGUAGCCGGCCUGAGAGGGUGACCGGUCACACUGGGACUGAGAUACGGCCCAGACUCCUACGGGAGGCAGCAGUGGGGAAUAUUGCACAAUGGGCGCAAGCCUGAUGCAGCGACGCCGCGUGAGGGAUGACGGCCUUCGGGUUGUAAACCUCUUUCAGCUAUGACGAAGCGCAAGUGACGGUAGUAGCAGAAGAAGGACCGGCCAACUACGUGCCAGCAGCCGCCGCAG